AGCUUCGUGCAGUGGCAGUAUCAUGGCCAGUGAUGUUUAUCCAAGACAUGAUUAUUGCUAAGUGAAGGCUUUUUCCAAGAUCCUGGAAUGACAACUUGCAAUAUAGUUGGCACUGGCACUUUUUGACAGUCUCUAAUUUUUUUUUCUUGAGUUAUGAGA
rnacentral:snRNA from 1 species